rnacentral:misc_RNA from 1 species
CCACCUUUAACCUGCGAUGCCCAAACAUCCAUCACGAUGUCGAAUUCCGCCCUGCACGCAAUGUCCCCCGCUGACGACGAGUGCGGCCCCUCAGACGCCCAGUUGGCCGAUGACAUGGCCGCCCGCGCCCAGCGGCUGCGCGACGCCAACAUCAAUCCCCGCACCGGGCUUGCUACAGAUUAUCUGAACCAUUUCAACGAAGCGAUCAUGCUGCUCGAAAUGAUCC